CCUACGGGAGGCAGCAGUAGGGAAUCUUUCACAAUGGGCGAAAGCCUGAUGGAGCAACGCCGCGUGCAGGAUGAAGGCCUUCGGGUUGUAAACUGCUUUUAUAAGCGAGAAAUAUGAUGGUAACUUAUGAAUAAGGAUCGGCUAACUACGUGCCAGCAGCCGCGGUCAUACGUAGGAUCCGAGCAUUAUCCGGAGUGACUGGGUGUAAAGAGUUGCGUAGGUGGCAUAAUAAGUAGCUAGUGAAAUCUGGUGGCUCAACCAUUCAGACUAUUAGCUAAACUGUUAAGCUCGAGACCGUUAGGGGUAACUGGAAUUUCUAGUGUAGGAGUGAAAUCCGUAGAUAUUAGAAGGCACACCAAUAGCGUAGGCAGGUUGCUGGGACGGUUCUGACACUAAGGCACGAAAGCGUAGGGAGCAAACGGGAUUAGAUACCCGAGUAGUC
rnacentral:rRNA from 1 species